GGGUUGUGAGGUUAAGCGAAUAAGCGUACACGGUGGAUGCCUAGGCAAUCAGAGGCGAUGAAGGACGUGCUAAUCUGCGAAAAGCGUCGGUAAGGUGAUAUGAACCGUUAUACCCGACGAUAUCCGAAUGGGGAAACCCAGUAUCCAAUGGAUACUAUCAUUAACUGAAUCCAUAGGUUAAUGAGGCGAACCGGGAGAACUGAAACAUCUCAGUACCCCGAGGAAAAGAAAUCAACCGAGAUUCCCCUAGUAGCGGCGAGCGAACGGGGAGCAGCCCAGAGUCUUAAUCAAUAACAGUGUCAGGAGAACGGUCUGGAAAGUCCGGCAGUAAAGGGUGAUAGCCCCGUAUCUGAAGAUGCUGUUGUUGUGAACUCGACGAGUAGGGCGGGACACGUGUUAUCCUGUCUGAAUAUGGGGGGACCAUCCUCCAAGGCUAAAUACUCCUGAUUGACCGAUAGUGAACCAGUACCGUGAGGGAAAGGCGAAAAGAACCCCGGCGAGGGGAGUGAAAAAGAACCUGAAACCGUGUACGUACAAGCAGUAGGAGCCUCUUUAUGGGGUGACUGCGUACCUUUUGUAUAAUGGGUCAGCGACUUAUAUUCUGUAGCAAGGUUAACCGUAUAGGGGAGCCGUAGGGAAACCGAGUCUUAACUGGGCGAAUGAGUUGCAGGGUAUAGACCCGAAACCCGGUGAUCUAUCCAUGGGCAGGUUGAAGGUUGGGUAACACUAACUGGAGGACCGAACCGACUAAUGUUGAAAAAUUAGCGGAUGACUUGUGGAUGGGGGUGAAAGGCCAAUCAAACCGGGAGAUAGCUGGUUCUCCCCGAAAGCUAUUUAGGUAGCGCCUCGUGAACUCAUCUUCGGGGGUAGAGCACUGUUUCGACUAGGGGGUCAUCCCGACUUACCAACUCGAUGCAAACUGCGAAUACCGAAGAAUGUUAUCACGGGAGACACACGGCGGGUGCUAACGUCCGUCGUGAAGAGGGAAACAACCCAGACCGCCAGCUAAGGUCCCAAAGUCAUGGUUAAGUGGGAAACGAAGUGGGAAGGCUCAGACAGCCAGGAUGUUGGCUUAGAAGCAGCCAUCAUUUAAAGAAAGCGUAAUAGCUCACUGGUCGAGUCGGCCCGCGCGGAAGAUGUAACGGGGCUAAACCAUGCACCGAAGCUGCGGCAGCGACACAAAGUGUUGUUGGGUAGGGGAGCGUUCUGUAAGCCUGCGAAGGUGUACUGUGAGGUAUGCUGGAGGUAUCAGAAGUGCGAAUGCUGACAUAAGUAACGAUAAUGCGGGUGAAAAACCCGCACGCCGGAAGACCAAGGGUUCCUGUCCAACGUUAAUCGGGGCAGGGUGAGUCGACCCCUAAGGCGAGGCUGAAAAGCGUAGUCGAUGGGAAACGGGUUAAUAUUCCCGUACUGGUGGUAACUGCGAUGGGGGAACGGAGAAGGCUAGGUUGUCCGGGCGACGGUCGUCCCGGUUCAAGCAGGUAGGCAGAGUGAUUAGGCAAAUCCGGUCACUUAAUGCUGAGAUGUGAUGACGAACCACCAAGGUGGUGAAGCAAUUGAUGCCCCGCUUCCAGGAAAAGCCUCUAAGCUUCAGGUUACCAACAAUCGUACCCCAAACCGACACAGGUGGUCAGGUAGAGAAUACUCAGGCGCUUGAGAGAACUCGGGUGAAGGAACUAGGCAAAAUGGUGCCGUAACUUCGGGAGAAGGCACGCUGGCGGUAGGUAAAGUCCCUCGCGGACGGCGCUGAAGCCAGUCGAAGAUACCAGCUGGCUGCAACUGUUUAUUAAAAACACAGCACUGUGCAAACACGAAAGUGGACGUAUACGGUGUGACGCCUGCCCGGUGCUGGAAGGUUAAUUGAUGGGGUCAGCCGUAAGGCGAAGCUCCUGAUCGAAGCCCCAGUAAACGGCGGCCGUAACUAUAACGGUCCUAAGGUAGCGAAAUUCCUUGUCGGGUAAGUUCCGACCUGCACGAAUGGCGUAAUGAUGGCCAGGCUGUCUCCACCCGAGACUCAGUGAAAUUGAACUCGCUGUGAAGAUGCAGUGUACCCGCGGCAAGACGGAAAGACCCCGUGAACCUUUACUAUAGCUUGACACUGAACAUUGAGCCUUGAUGUGUAGGAUAGGUGGGAGGCUUUGAAGUGUGGACGCCAGUCUGCAUGGAGCCAACCUUGAAAUACCACCCUUUAACGUUUGAUGUUCUAACCUAGGCCCAUAAACUGGGUCGGGGACCGUGUCUGGUGGGUAGUUUGACUGGGGCGGUCUCCUCCUAAAGAGUAACGGAGGAGCACGAAGGUUGGCUAAGCAUGGUCGGACAUCAUGCGGUUAGUGCAAAGGCAUAAGCCAGCUUGACUGCGAGAGUGACGGCUCGAGCAGGUACGAAAGUAGGUCUUAGUGAUCCGGUGGUUCUGAAUGGAAGGGCCAUCGCUCAACGGAUAAAAGGUACUCCGGGGAUAACAGGCUGAUACCGCCCAAGAGUUCAUAUCGACGGCGGUGUUUGGCACCUCGAUGUCGGCUCAUCACAUCCUGGGGCUGAAGUAGGUCCCAAGGGUAUGGCUGUUCGCCAUUUAAAGUGGUACGCGAGCUGGGUUUAGAACGUCGUGAGACAGUUCGGUCCCUAUCUGCCGUGGGCGUUGGAAGAUUGAGAGGGGUUGCUCCUAGUACGAGAGGACCGGAGUGAACGCACCACUGGUGUUCGGGUUGUCAUGCCAAUGGCAUUGCCCGGUAGCUAAGUGCGGAAGAGAUAACCGCUGAAAGCAUCUAAGCGGGAAACUUGCCUCGAGAUGAGUCUUCCCUGUCGCUUUAAGCGACCUAAAGGAACGUUUAAGACUAAGACGUUGAUAGGCUGGGUGUGUAAGCGUAGCGAUACGUUGAGCUAACCAGUACUAAUGAACCGUGAGGCUUAACCUGACAACACCGAAAGUGUUUUG
rnacentral:rRNA from 1 species